ACCCCACCCUACCCCCACCAAAGCUCCUUAUUCAUAGAAGUCAUCAUUUCACCACAAACCCUGUCAGUUUCUGUUCACACACCAUUCCACUGUAUUCAGGAAUUAUACUACACCGUGGUAUAGUUGGCUGUGCAAGAGAGCAAGAAGGAAGAAAACACAUGAAAUACUGCACAUAAGCAUUCGUGAACAAAGACCCAAGGCACACACCAGCUAGCAGCGUGAGCAAACAGCAAAGCUCACCAUAAUAAAACUGUUCUUCAGAUUCAAGGCGCAACGAUCUCUUUUCUGUUUGAGUGGGUUAUUUAAGAAAACCAGGCUGGCAUCUUUAGUGGGAAAAUCAUGAGAGCAAACACACACACAGAGACACUUUAUAUUCCAUUGUUGAAAGGUUAGGUGGUUGCUGAGAAUUCAAAGCAGCAGCAGAUUGUGUUAUUAGCCCCGAGUCCCGAUCAUCCCUCCCAGACAAAGCUGCAGGUCAAUAGCACUUCAAUAGAACUGCCAAGCAGAACCCUCCCCUGCCAUUCCCAUGGCAAAACCCGUCCGAAUCGAUUAUCCCUAAAUAAUAUUUUAGGAUUUCAAUGGCGCCUCUCAAACCCAAAGGGCUUCACAAACAAGAGAUAGGGUUGCUGAAACAUGUCCAUCUCCUGUUGUGGCGGAAGGGGAUGUCUGUCAAGAAGGCAAAAGCUGUUGGGGGAUAGAAGAUCCACAAUGGAAAUAUCCAGCUGUGGAGACAACCUUGGAGCUCCUGGAUCCAUUGGCUAGAGCUGACUGGAAGUAAGAGAAGCAUUCUGUAUCUAUACCCUCUCAGGGAAGAUAACCAAGAAGAAGAGGAGACCCAGUCCUAGCCUGGCUUGCCAAAAUACAUGGACCUCAAUGAAAUCAUUUGGACAGUGCAGAGCUGAGGUAAAAUAUGAACUCCUACAUUGGCAGACCCUAAAGAUGCUUCAUCUUCUGAUGUUUACGUCUUAACCUCAUGGAAGUGUAGGACCACAGUGUAAAAGGGUACUGCCAUUUGUCUCUGUCAACAUGAGUUUGAGUUUC
rnacentral:lncRNA from 1 species